UACGUAGGGUGCAAGCGUUAAUCGGAAUUACUGGGCGUAAAGCGUGCGCAGGCGGUUGUGCAAGACAGAUGUGAAAUCCCCGGGCUUAACCUGGGAACUGCAUUUGUGACUGCACGGCUAGAGUACGGCAGAGGGGGGUGGAAUUCCACGUGUAGCAGUGAAAUGCGUAGAGAUGUGGAGGAACACCGAUGGCGAAGGCAGCCCCCUGGGCUAACACUGACGCUCAUGCACGAAAGCGUGGGGAGCAAACAGG
rnacentral:rRNA from 1 species